AUUCUUCCUUCAACAGCACCUAUACUAAAGUUGUAACAAUACAGAGAAGAUUAGCAUGGCCUCUUUACAAGGAUGACAAGCAAAUUCAUGAAGCAUAUUUUA